ensembl:lncRNA
CCCACACGCGCGCACACGAACACACCGUGUGCUGUCAACCUGUCUGGUCUCCUGGGGCACAAAGAAAGGGAGGGACAGUGGCAGUGGGUCCUGAGGACCAUUCAGUGAACUGACCGGGAGGGUAUUUCAGCCCCGAAGAGGGAACCGCGCCAGGGGGACACCAAGGUCAAAGUAGCCAGAGGUUUGGAACUGGGGGAAGAGAGGUUCUGGUGACGAAAGAACACCCUGGAAGGAAAGAGUGGAAAACCCGAGGUGACCGAAAGGAGCUGGCAGCUUCCCCCGGACGAGGACACAGACGGGGAAAGGCCCUGAAAGUCCGGGAAGAAAGAAAUGACGGUGGAGAAAAAAGGCGGAGCGGGAGAAAGGCGGAGAAACGGAGAGAAAAGACGGAGAAUCCUUAGAAGAAAAAGCGUCUUGGCUGCAUGGGGCCGGGAGAGUCUGCAAACACCUGGAGACGGGGAAGGAGGGGGCGGCCUGGGAGUUUCAUUCUUGGUGGCAUCUGCUUUGCGCCCAGAAGCGAGGCCGGCUGGUGACAGAAGCGGCGUCUGUGCCGCCUCCCAGGUGUUCUCGCACCCGGUCUUCACGAGCAAACACAUGGCAGUGCUGACAUGGAUUAGGAUCCAGUGGAAGCCAAGAAAAGAAAACUAAGAAAGGGAAAAAGCUACUCACAGCUUCGCCAGCAGCAGCUUGGCUGUCUGGGUUCCAGAGGGCUGCCUCUUCGGGGCCAGAGUGGCUGAUGCAGGAGUUUCUCAGGGCUUCUGCUUCCAUCGUGGACCGAGAGAAAGUAAAGCAGUAAAUGUGGAACCAGAAGGACACCCCAUUAUUUAUUUUGGGCUACACCUGCAGCAUAUGGAGGUUGCCGGGCUAGGGGUCGAAUUGGAGCUACAGCUGCCGGCCUCCACCCAUAGCCCCAGCAACGCAGCACCCGAGCCACAUCUGCAACCUACACCACAGCUCACAGCAACGCCGGAUCCUUAACUCACUGAGUGAGGCCAGGGAUGGAACCCACAUCCUCAUGGAUACUAGUUGGUUUCGUUACGGCUGAGCCAUGAAGGGAACUCCCACCAGCCCCACUUAAAGUUUCUCCGGAGCCACAGAGCAGCAGAAAAGAAGGCAAAAUUCCUAGUCACCAAAUGCACACCCAUGGACUUUUUAAAUUUCUUUGUACCAAGGAGCCAUCGUUUGAUCUCGUGUUCUAGUGGCUCAUCUCGGUCCUCGGAAAAUGUUAGGAUUCAGAUCCUUAGGACCGAGGACAGGAAUUGAAGGGAAAGAUGACAUUCCAGAGUAGGAGACCCUGGUCGUAGGGAAAUCUGAGAUGAUUCGCAUAUUUUAGCAUCUGUUUCCACCCUUCUGCUGAUUUGAAUAAGCGCCAUCACAGCCCUAGUUUGACCUCAGAGGGUCAAACACUCCCUUUAUCUGAGAUGAAGGAGGAGCUAGUGAUGUAAGAACGAGGAAGAGAUGUCUUUUUCGCUCCCUGCUUCCCUUGGAUGAUAAAACUGUAGCCCAGCUAAUCCUCGGGGCAGAGCCUCCCGCCUGCCCGCUUGCAUCUCUCACAAGCAUCCUGUCUUAAUGAAUCUAUGUCUGCCUAUCGCUUUGUCACUCGCUGAAUUCCUUCUGCGCUGAGACGUAAAGAACCUGAGCCUCAGUA